rnacentral:rRNA from 1 species
GACGAACGCUGGCGGCGUGCCUAACACAUGCAAGUCGAACGGUUCUAAGCGCGAGCUUAGGAUAGUGGCGAACGGGUGAGUAAAAGGUAGGAAUCUACCCCUUGGACGGAGAUAGCUACUGGAAACGGUAGGUAAACUUCGAUAAGCCCGAGAGGGGAAAGUGGUGAGACAGCCGAGGGAUGAGCCUACUCUCCAUCAGGUAGUUGGUGAGAUAAAAGCUUACCAAGCCGAUGACGGAUAACCGGUGUGAGAGCAUGAACGGUCACAAGGGCACUGAGAGACGGGCCCUACUCCUACGGGAGGCAGCAGUGGGGAAUCUUGGACAAUGGGCGAAAGCCUGAUCCAGCGACGCCGCGUGGAGGAAGAAGUCCUUCGGGAUGUAAACUUCUGAACUAGCCGAAUAAAAGGCCUGUGGACACACAGGAGAAGAAAGUAGGCUAGGAAAAGUCCCGGCUAACUACGUG